AAUAUAAAUUCUAGCGUCUCAGAUGUUGAUAAUCCGUCUGGAUUAGUUUUAUUAUUUUCAUUGUCAGUUUCCUUUUGCAAUUCGUCAAUUGCAUAUCUCAAUUCUUCAACAGAAUACUCGUCCCACAACCGACCACCCCUCAGCAGGCAAUGGCAAACCAUCGAGUGUAUUUCUGCCAUGAAAAAGCUCCUCAUAAAAAUAUCUGCCGUUCGGAGUCUGCUUGAAACUGUAGGUCUCUGCAUUGGUGGAACAACAUCAAGACGCACGCCACAAAUAGGAGGAGGAGCUCGGCUAAACACCAAAAAAAAAAAAAAAACGGUGUACGCGCCAAUUAUAUAUAUACAACAAAUAGUUAAUUUUUCUAUUUUUAUUCUUCACGAUGUACCACUAAAUUUACUGGUUGGUCUUCGUCAUUUGUAAUAUUCACACAGCAUCGAAAUCAGGUAGGUGAAAUGGUUGAAGUCCCACUCUGGCACUCCCCAACAGGCAGAUAUCUACAGUCAGCCAAAGCUGUUGAUGUAUUGGAGAAUAUUGAUGGGAUUCAGGUUACCGCACUGUCCAAGGCUAUCGAAAAAAGGGUCACCUGGACAUUUACAGGGAAAGUGCUCAACAGUUUUUCCUGCUCUGAAAGGUGCCCACAGCUACUGCAAUGGGUAUUAAAUGGUAAACCUACCUUUUCCGCGUGUGAAGCCAUCGUCCUAUGACCACAGCUAUGUCUUAUAUAAUUGAAAAAAUCGAUUUUGAGCCGAAAUACAAAAUUGCCGAUAAAUCAUGAAAAAAAAAAUUUUUCGGGCGAACACAAAAAUACGUGUCUCAUUAUUUUGACCAGAGAGCAACAUAUUUGAGUUACAUCGAAAUCGAAGAACAUGUCUCGAAUAGCCCGGUUGAAUUGAAAUGGAGAGCAUCAGGAGAAAACCGGCGGUUUUUCGACAAAACCAAGUACAACCGAAAAAAUCUUCGUCGUUUUGAAAAAUUAAUUUUUAUAUAUUGAAAAUAUCUAAUUAUGUAAGUGAAUGCAGUUUUGGCAUGCCAAGCAUUUAACCUUAAAACGCAUUCUAGCAUAGACAUUAGUGCCCAUAAUUUAACGAAGUAACAGCAAUAUUUUAAACUGUAGGUGCAGAACGCAUUUGACUAAAACAUACCUUCUUAUUACAUGAUUUUAUUUAUAAAUCUAGUGAAUUAGCUGCGCAACCUGACUGCUCAUCCAACCGUUGGCGGACUAGGAAAACCUCGAGACAUGUGCACGAAGCAGAAGUGGAGGAGAUCUUUUUGAUGUUGGCAUUGUUACAUGAAUUCUGCGAUAAAGCAAAACAAAUAGGUCUCAUAAAUAAUUUUAUUCCGUAUAUUUUUACAAGUGCACUUUUCAUACGAAUAAAAGUGUCUUAAUUGUUGAGACUUACAUGCAUAUGUAUGUAGACAUUCAAACAAAUAUAUAUUAAUGUAUUUAAAUGUGUAUGUGUAUGCAGUUAACAGUACGCCUAAGAGUGUUACACUCGGCUCGGCGUAACGACUAAAAUCACUAAAAUAAAUACUUGAAAAAUUAAAUAAAAGGGAUUUGUGUUAAAAGUGUACUUACGUAUGCAUGUAUGUAUGUGGUUGUUACUAUGUGAACAUUAAUAUGCUGUAGCAUUGGAAGCAAAUAAACAACAACAAUCAAUAAUGCAUUCGAUCAAGCUUUCUGGCAAGCGAUAAUUUAGUUUAGUUGGCCUUCUCCUUAAAAAGCUUUGCUGAAGUUUAUCCUUUGAGGCCGGCAAAGAAAAUUCAUCAACCGCCCCUAACCUUCGUGAGCGUAAAUGAAAGUCUUUCGGAGUUUAGUCCAUUCACUUCUAUUGUUUUAAUCCCUUUGUUAAAAAUUGCUCCCCAUUUUUCAUGUUUACACAUAUUUAC